UUAAGGUAAAAAAAUCAAACAUUUUUGUAAAAAAAUUUUAGAAAAAUUUAUUUCUUAUUACAUAUAUGUGAAUACUUUAUUAUUUAAAUGACUUGUGGUAAAAGUUAACUUAUUUAUUGUCGGCGACGGCUUCACUAUAAUCUGAAUACGACGUGUUAGUGUUUGACUGUACUGACACAUUAUUCAUCUCAAAAGAAACUGUUGCCAUCGAAAUAUUCUUGCUCGACACGUACUAAGGCAUUUUGAAUACGUGGCCGCAAACUAUAUGCCAUCGUGCUCACUAUUGAAAAAUCGACGCUUAGUACACAACAGGGUCAGAAUGACUCUGCACCGACUUCGAAUAAUGCCCAACACCUAUUAGGUGCUGCGCUGUACAAAAGGAGCAUAUUAACAUAUACCCACACAGCACAUGAUAUCAUUCGUAUAUACUGAAUUGACACUGAAUAUACUGUAGAUAUCCAAGAUAUACUAAUAAUAACCAUAUAAUAUAUCUUGUAGUAUAUUAUUUUUCCAAUAUUCUCAGAAUAUAAGACAUUCAUCAAUAAUAUUGAGUCUAUUUAGCGGAUAUUCUCAGGAUAUACUAAAAUUAUCAGUAAUCCUAGACAACACGCAUGUCUAAAAGACGUCUUUAUGACGUCUUAAAAUCUUAUUUUAUACGUCUCUCUUAAGACGUCUAAAAUACAUCUUUUUUUAAAACAUCUUAUUUGAGACGCCAUUUAGAUGUCUUUAAAAUUUUUAAUAAAAUUUACGACGUCUUAGAAAGACGUCUUUAAGACGUCGAAUGACGCGCAUAACCAAAUCUGCCGUGUGAUACGAUCAAGUCGAUCGACGUGCUUAUCCCAUUCCCGUAUCAAUUUUUUGAACUCUCGCACGUACAUGUGUUGAGACGUUUUGUCCCGGUUUUCUGUGUAACGCAGUCGAGUGUGGAUGCAUUAAUCUAACACAAUUUUUUAACUCUCGCACGUGUAUCACGUGUGUGGACGGGCUGUACUGGAAAUAAAAUCUCCCAGCUAACCUUAGAUAUUCCUAAAAUAUUCGUGGAAAAAUACACGUGGGAUACUGUUUAUUAAGUUUGCAGCAAGAUUCGACCUCUUUCCGUAAGUAAAUUUAUUCAUAUUUUCAUUUAUGUAUAUCCUAUAUAUACCUAUAAAACAUAUAUAAUGCAUCCUACCACGCACAUACACACACGUACACAUAUACAUUGAGUAUUAUUAUUGUUGAUAUGAAUUAUUUACGGGAAGAAGUAAACUUAGAAUAAGAUGCUUCUAACAUCAAUACUAUUAAAUUUCCCGUCAAUUUAAAAGAUAAAAUUUUUUUGGUUAGGUGCUGGGUGCCAGUUGCCUGCUCGAUGACAUUGUGUGGUCAAUGCCGACUCGCGCCUUUGUUUCCAAUCCAGGACGCUUCGCACCUGUAUGAUUGUGACGUGAAAAUCCUGUUUAAGCUCCAUGGUGUGCUCCCGGAUACAUUGACCGGACACCGCAAUAGAUUCUCAAAGCAAUUCCACGAAUCAAAGAGUUUUUACAAUACAGUUAAACAUAUGCGGUAUUCUAAACAUUUGAUAACAAUUCCGUCAUUACCCGAGAAGCCACCUAACUUUUUAAUAUAAACUGAGUUAAUGUUACACCGAUAGUGGUACUUCCGCCGAAGGCAUCUAUUGAUUCGAUAGUGGUACUUCCGCCGAAGGCAUCUAUUGAUUCGAUAGUGGUACUUCCGCCGAAGGCAUCUAUUGAUUCCGAGACUGCCAUAGAUAAUCUUAUCGAUACAUCUGAUACAGAAUCAUUAACAGGCGAUCAGUUGGAUUCUGUAAAUACACGAAAUGACUAUAUCACCUGAUGCUCUUACACAAAGAGACAGCUUUAUUGAUCGCUCAAUUGUAUCAAGAAAAUGUUCUUCAAAGACGUAAAUAAUUUGUUAAUGGAUCAUCAACAAAUCAUCAACAAAUAGUUGCAGAUAAUGCAAUAUGAAACGCAACAGAUGAUCAAAUCUCAGCCCCGAUAAAGAUAUGGUUGGUCCAUGCAAAAGAACGCGCCGGAAAAGAAAAAA